ACCUGCAAAAUAAAAAAGAAAAAAGUUAACAGUAGACACAUCAGAAUUUCACACCCCAAUUUAGGGUUUACCUUUAUUCGCACUUCUUAGUGUGCCACCCAUUUCCUCCUCUACCGCCGUCAGCAGUAAUGGCAGACACAUCUUCUCCUCCAACGGACCAACUCGCAGUCACCACCCUCGACGACGAGGUACCCAAGGCCCAAUUCUCGGAUCGCGUCUCGAUCCGCUCCAUCAUUGCCCGCCCCGACGGCGGCUCUGGCUUGGCCGGCCGGAAGGCGCGUGUCGGUGGCUGGGUCAAGACUGGUCGGAAAGCGGACAAAGACGCCUUCGCCUUCCUCGAAAUUAACGAUGGCAGCUGCGCCGAUAACCUCCAAGUUAUCGUUGAAGCCUCUCUCGGCAAACUCGGUCAACUCGUACCCACUUGAACUUGUGUCGUCAUCGACGGCCACCUCAAGCUUCCUCCAUCCGGCACCAAACAAAAGAUCGAACUUCGCGCCGAUAAGGUCCUCCACGUCGGCCCAGUCGAUCCCACCAAAUAUCCUCUGCCCAAAAUGAGACUCACCCUUGAGUUCCUCAGAGAUUUCGUUCAUCUUCGUUCAAGAACCAACACGGUACCUUCCUUCUUUUUUGUCAUAAACUGUUAUUCUAAAAGUGUUAAUGAAUUUAGUUAUUAUGGCAUAAUCUUACUCUAUCAAGAGGUUUUAUAGUGUUAUCGUGAUUUUGUGACAUAACACGGAUUAUGACUGUAUGAGGGCAAAAACCUUUACUUAAUAUCUCGGUUUGGGAAAUUGUGGACGGAUAUUGUGAGAAAUUGAAGAAAAAAGAGAUCUCAAUUGUUAUAGAUAAACUUAAUUGAUUUGGUUGUUAUUACUUUUCGUAGUUAUACUUAUGUUGUGUUGUGUGUGAUUGCAUAUAUCUGCGGUGGCUAGAAUUAGAAAUGUCUUGCAUAUGCUAUGCAUACUUUUUUCAACAAAGAAGGGUUUCUUUAAGUGCACACACCGAUUGUUACGACGAGUGACUGUGAGGGUGCGGGUGAGAUGUUUCAGGUGACGACUUUGUUGAGUGAGGCUGAGAGAUUGGAGAAGGAGUUGUUGCAGAGAAUUCUCACACUUUUCGUGCGGAGAAUUCUCACACUUCCAGGCAUUUGGCUGAGUUUUGGAUGGUAGAACCUGAGAUAGCGUUUGCAGAGUUGAAGGAUGAUAUGAACUGUGCCGAGGCGUAUGUGAAAUUUUUGUGUCAGUGGUUACUUGACAACUGCCUUGAGGAUAUGGAGUUUAUGGCUGAUAAGUUUGAUAAAGGUUGCAUUGAUCGUUUGAAGUUGGUUGCUUCCACCCCCUUUAUUCGAGUUUCGUAUACAGAAGCAGUGGAAAUACUAGAAGACGCUGUGAAGAAUGGUAAAAAAUUUGAGAAUGAAGUGAAAUGGGGUAUUGACUUAGCAUCUGAGCAUGAAAGAUUCCUGACAGAGGUAAAAUUUCAGAAGCCAGUCAUUGUCUAUAACUAUCCAAAAGAAAUCAAAGCAUUCUACAUGCGGCUCAAUGAUGACUUGAAAACAGUAGCUAUAACUAUAUUGAUGGUUUUUUUGGCAUAAUAGAAGCAUGUAUAAGUAAAUGCAAUUUUUCAAGUGGGAGAGCUAAUUGGUGGAAGCCAAAGAGCAGCAGUAUAUAGGAUAGAGAUUCAAUACUUGAUAAUCUAUCUAUAUAUACAGAGCAACAGUAUAUAGGAUAGAGAUUCAAUACUUGAUAAUCUAUCUAUAUAUACAGAGCAACAGUAUAUAGGAUAGAGAUUCAAUAAAUAAAGAAAAUGGGUUUGCCUCUUGAGCCAUACGAAUGGUACCUUGAUCUGAGGCGGUAUGGAACAGUGAAACAUGCGGGAUUUGGGCUUGGCUUUGAAAGAAUGAUUCUCUUUGCAACGGGCCUGGAAAAUAUUAGAGAUGUGAUCCCCUUUCCACGAUAUCCUGGCAGAGCAGAUCUAUGAUCUUUCUCUUUCUCAUUCUCUUGUUCUAGUAGUUGAGUUGAAAAAUGGUAAUUAUAUAUAGCAUUUUAUUUUUAUUUUUUUUUGUGGUUGCAGACACCACGAGUGAGUGGGUCUUUGAGAUUCCUCUUUUUUGCCGAACUAAUAUAUUUUUAAAGGAUUCUAGGUCUUGAUCUGUUA